rnacentral:piRNA from 1 species
UGGGUUCAGAGGACAACAUCUUACUCUGGC